UACGGAGGGUGCAAGCGUUAUCCGGAUUCACUGGGUUUAAAGGGUGCGUAGGCGGGUUGGUAAGUCCGUGGUGAAAUCCCCAAGCUUAACUUGGGAACUGCCGUGGAUACUAUCAAUCUUGAAUAUCGUGGAGGUAAGCGGAAUAUGUCAUGUAGCGGUGAAAUGCUUAGAUAUGACAUAGAACACCAAUUGCGAAGGCAGCUGGCUACACAAAUAUUGACACUGAGGCACGAAAGCGUGGGGAUCAAACAGG
rnacentral:rRNA from 1 species